GAUCAUGGCUCAGGAUGAACGCUAGCUACAGGCUUAACACAUGCAAGUCGAGGGUCAGCAUGAACUUAGCUUGCUAAGUUUGAUGGCGACCGGCGCACGGGUGAGUAACACGUAUCCAACCUGCCGAUGACUCGGGGAUAGCCUUUCGAAAGAAAGAUUAAUACCCGAUGGCAUAAUUCUUCCGCAUGGUAGAACUAUUAAAGAAUUUCGGUCAUCGAUGGGGAUGCGUUACA
rnacentral:rRNA from 1 species